GAUGAACGCUAGCGGGAGGCCUAACACAUGCAAGCCGAGCGGUAUUGUUUCUUCGGAAAUGAGAGAGCGGCGUACGGGUGCGGAACACGUGUGCAAUCUGCCUUUAUCUGGGGGAUAGCCUUUCGAAAGGAAGAUUAAUACUCCAUAAUAUAUUGAUUUGCAUCAAUUAAUAUUGAAACCUCCGGCGGAUAGAGAUGGGCACGCGCAAGAUUAGCUAGUUGGUGAGGUAACGGCUCACCAAGGCGAUGAUCUUUAGGGGGCCUGAGAGGGUGAUCCCCCACACUGGUACGGAUACACGGACCAGACUCCUACGGGAGGCAGCAGUGAGGAAUAUUGGUCAAUGGGUGCAAGCCUGAACCAGCCAUCCCGCGUGAAGGACGACUGCCCUAUGGGUUGUAAACUUCUUUUGUAUAGGGAUAAACCUACCCUCGUGAGGGUAGCUGAAGGUACUAUACGAAUAAGCACCGGCUAACUCCGUGCCAGCCGCCGCGGUAAUAC
rnacentral:rRNA from 1 species